rnacentral:rRNA from 1 species
AUUGAACGCUGGCGGCAGGCCUAACACAUGCAAGUCGAACGAGUGGCGGACGGGUGAGUAAUGUCUGGGAAACUGCCCGAUGGAGGGGGAUAACUACUGGAAACGGUAGCUAAUACCGCAUACCCUCGGAUGUGCCCAGAUGGGUUUAGCUGGUAGGUGGGGUAACGGCUCACCUAGGCGACGAUCCCUACCUGGUCUGAGAGGAUGACCAGCCACACUGGAGCUGAGACACGGGCCAGACGCCUACGGGAGUCAGCAGUGGGGAAUAUUGCACAAUGGGCGCAAGCCUGAUGCAGCCAUGCCGCGUGUAUGAAGAAGGCCUUCGGGUUGUAAAUUACUUUCAGCGGGGAGGCGUUACCCGCAGAAGAAGCACCGGCUAACUCCGUGCCAGCAGCCGCGGUAAUAC